rnacentral:rRNA from 1 species
CAGGCUUAACACAUGCAAGUCGAGGGGCAUCAGGAAGAAAGCUUGCUUUCUUUGCUGGCGACCGGCGCACGGGUGAGUAACACGUAUCCAACCUGCCCUUUACUCGGGGAUAGCCUUUCGAAAGAAAGAUUAAUACCCGAUAGCAUAAUGAUUCCGCAUGGUUUCAUUAUUAAAGGAUUCCGGUAAAGGAUGGGGAUGCGUUCCAUUAGGUUGUUGGUGAGGUAACGGCCCACCAAGCCUUCGAUGGAUAGGGGUUCUGAGAGGAAGGUCCCCCACAUUGGAACUGAGACACGGUCCAAACUCCUACGGGAGGCAGCAGUGAGGAAUAUUGGUCAAUGGGCGCUAGCCUGAACCAGCCAAGUAGCGUGAAGGAUGAAGGCUCUAUGGGUCGUAAACUUCUUUUAUAUAAGAAUAAAGUGCAGUAUGUAUACUGUUUUGUAUGUAUUAUAUGAAUAAGGAUCGGCUAACUCCGUGCCAGCAGCCGCGGUAAUACGGAGGAUCCGAGCGUUAUCCGGAUUUAUUGGGUUUAAAGGGAGCGUAGGUGGACUGGUAAGUCAGUUGUGAAAGUUUGCGGCUCAACCGUAAAAUUGCAGUUGAUACUGUCAGUCUUGAGUACAGUAGAGGUGGGCGGAAUUCGUGGUGUAGCGGUGAAAUGCUUAGAUAUCACGAAGAACUCCGAUUGCGAAGGCAGCUCACUGGACUGCAACUGACACUGAUGCUCGAAAGUGUGGGUAUCAAACAGGAUUAGAUACCCUGGUAGUCCACACAGUAAACGAUGAAUACUCGCUGUUUGCGAUAUACAGUAAGCGGCCAAGCGAAAGCAUUAAGUAUUCCACCUGGGGAGUACGCCGGCAACGGUGAAACUCAAAGGAAUUGACGGGGGCCCGCACAAGCGGAGGAACAUGUGGUUUAAUUCGAUGAUACGCGAGGAACCUUACCCGGGCUUAAAUUGCAGUGGAAUGAUGUGGAAACAUGUCAGUGAGCAAUCACCGCUGUGAAGGUGCUGCAUGGUUGUCGUCAGCUCGUGCCGUGAGGUGUCGGCUUAAGUGCCAUAACGAGCGCAACCCUUAUCUUUAGUUACUAACAGGUUAUGCUGAGGACUCUAGAGAGACUGCCGUCGUAAGAUGUGAGGAAGGUGGGGAUGACGUCAAAUCAGCACGGCCCUUACGUCCGGGGCUACACACGUGUUACAAUGGGGGGUACAGAAGGCAGCUAGCGGGUGACCGUAUGCUAAUCCCAAAAUCCUCUCUCAGUUCGGAUCGAAGUCUGCAACCCGACUUCGUGAAGCUGGAUUCGCUAGUAAUCGCGCAUCAGCCACGGCGCGGUGAAUACGUUCCCGGGCCUUGUACACACCGCCCGUCAAGCCAUGGGAGCCGGGGGUACCUGAAGUACGUAACCGCAAGGAUCGUCCUAGGGUAAAACUGGUGACUGGG